rnacentral:rRNA from 1 species
AUGGAUGAGUCUGCAGGGCAGAGAGCAAUGGAGGAGGAGAUGCAGAGCGGCGACGGCGAGAGGGAGAGGGAAGGGGAGCCGCGGCGGCUUGAGAAGACGAACAGAUCCGCGGCCAGCAAUGGCAGCAUCGAUCUGGAUCUUCUUGACUGCACCAUCUGCUUGGAUCCCCUCCGCCCUCCGCUCCUCCAGACACUCUACUACAAGGCUGAAGAUCAUCGCAAUUCGUGCCCGCACGCGCCAUGUUUCUGCCCAGGACCCGCCUGCAGCUUUGCCGGCACAACUGACAAGCUCCUGGCUCAUCUCACCGGCGAUCACAAGUGGAAAUCCAAGGAGGUUAAGUACGACGCCAAGUUCACUCUGCCUGUCAAAGAAGGGACGUGGGUUCUCCACGCCCGAGACCACGCUCCCCUGUUCCUGGUGAAAUUCACCCUGGCGCCGCCUUUCGGCAAUGUUGCCUCCGUCCUGUGCGUGGAUCCUCAUGCCACCGCUGAGCGUAGGUUCAGGUGCCGUCUUGGUUCCAGGUGCACCGCCAUGGGUCAGCAGCAGUCCUCUGAUUUCCAGGUCAGGAGCACCAACCUCUCCGACGGGUUACUGUUCACAGAGAAUGAUGGCUCCUCACUGUUUGCUUCUAGCACCCACAGCAUCACUGUCAGUAUCGUGAAGAUAGUGCGCGACAAGCGUAAGCGUGGGAAGGCGAUGCGGCAAAGUAUGCUUCCGUUUGUGGCAGCUAGUUGA